rnacentral:rRNA from 1 species
CAGCUUGCUGCUUUGCUGACGAGUGGCGGACGGGUGAGUAAUGUCUGGGAAACUGCCUGAUGGAGGGGGAUAACUACUGGAAACGGUGGCUAAUACCGCAUAACGUCGCAAGACCAAAGAGGGGGACCUUCGGGCCUCUUGCCAUCAGAUGUGCCCAGAUGGGAUUAGCUUGUUGGUGAGGUAACGGCUCACCAAGGCGACGAUCCCUAGCUGGUCUGAGAGGAUGACCAGCCACACUGGAACUGAGACACGGUCCAGACUCCUACGGGAGGCAGCAGUGGGGAAUAUUGCACAAUGGGCGCAAGCCUGAUGCAGCCAUGCCGCGUGUAUGAAGAAGGCCUUCGGGUUGUAAAGUACUUUCAGCGGGGAGG